UGCCUUAGACUGGCCCACCGGGCUCAUCUGUCCAUGAGAUUUUCCAGGCAAGAAUACUGGAGUGAGUUGCCAUUUCCUUCUCCACAACACUCACUUCUUCAGAUGAUAAAAUUAUUGCUCCACCACAGGGAAUCUUGUAUUAAUAGGAAGAAAGAAAUGCAUCUCAGCCAAGGAGAGGACAGAGAGAACACAACUCCCAGCCCCGCUUGGGUGUGUUCCCAGGCUGCACAGUUGCUUUUUGCAGUCACCCAAUGUCCCUCUGCACGGAGCCACCUGAUGUCUUUGCUUCAGGAAGGAGAGGUCCUGACUUGAAGUCUAUCUGAGAACAAGAAGUCAUCAUAAACUUCGUGUUUCAUUUCCUCUUUUUUCCUAUAUUUGAUAGCCCACAAAAGGGUAUGUGAAAGUUAAUCUCACCCGUUCCUUAUCUUAUUGGUAAGAGAAUUUUCAGCUGUGCAAGGAAACCGGGGCAUGUGGGUAGGCCUGGGAAUGCUGUGCUGCAGGUUCUUAUUCCUGAAAGUCAAGAGUAUUUGGGGGCUUCUCUAGUGGUCCAGUGGCUAAGACUCCAUGCUCCCAGUGCCGGGGGCUGCGGUUCGAUCCCUGGGCAGGGAACUAGAUUCCAUAUGCCGCAACUCAGGGUUUGCAUACUGCAACUGAAGAUUCCGAGUGCUGCAACUGAGACCUGGUGCAGCCAAAUUAAUUUAGAAGAAGAAGAAGAAAAAAAGAGUGUUUUGCUAAGAUUGCACAGUCAGAUCCCUCUUCAGACCUCAGCAGCUGGGAGCUUGGGUAAGAAAUAGAACCUGCUGAUGCAGGCCUUUGUAACCACCACACUCUGGCCCAGGCUGCCCCAGUGCAGAGCAUGAGUAAGCUCGGAGCAAUGGGUGCAUUUAUGCAACAAUUUCUCCAAACCACAAUAGAAGUGUCUGACUUGAUUGCCAAUAUAAGAGGUUUUUAAUUUCUCAUUUUAUUUUUUUCAUUCUCUGCCUCAAAAUGACCACACUCAGUUUAAGUCAGUUCUGGGUGACACCAUUGAUACAGAAAUCUAUGUCUGGAACAACGACAAGAGGCGAGACUUUAAUGACUCAUGGCAACAGAGAACACACUUGGGUCCUACUGAUAAAAUUGUGUGACAUAAAUAUAGCUGCACAUGCAGGCUUCCCAAAAGUUUCAGCUUGAACCAAACGCUUGCUCACAUCACUACUUUAAAAAGUUAUAACCUAGAAUUAUACAAUCUUAAUAUUCUUUAAGAGAUAUGAAUAUACUCUAGAAUUGGGGUACUUCAAAAUGUGUUAGUGUGUACCCUUUUAAAGCCCUAGAGAAAAGCUUCUCUUCAUAAGAGAUUGUUAGUUGCUCCAGGUUGGUGGUUAUUAAUCCAAGAUUAGCCAACUCAUCAAUAUCCUUUUCCUACCUCAGGAAAAUGGCCUGAAGAAUUCUCUUUCUUUGUCUAUAGACUAAGAGCUUGUAUAUUUCCAUGUGUGUGUGCGCUUAGUCACUCAGUCGUAUUUGACUCUUUGUCGCCCCAUGAACUGUAGCCUGCCAGCUUCCUCUGUCCAUGGGAGUCUCCAGGCAGGAAUACUGGAGUGGAUUGCUAUCUCCUUCUCCAGGGAUCUUCCUGACCCAAGGAUCAGACCCAUGUCUCCUGCAUUGCAGAUGGAUUCUUUACCAUCUGAGCUCCCAGGGAAGCCCUGUACAUUCACAUACUAGGUACCAGUGCAAGUCAUUGAACACUAUUCCAAAUGAGAAGAUGCAGAGAUAACAAAGCAUCUUACAGGCGACUUCCCAGGUGGUCCAGUGGUCGAGUCCCUGCUUCCAAUGCAAAGUGGGUUCCUUGGUUCCAUUCCUGAUUGGGGAACUAAGACCCCACAUGGCUCAUGGUGUGGCCAAAAAAAAAGAGAAAAAAGCCAGAAAGCAUCUAAUGUUCUUUGUUUGGUUGAAGGGAUGGGUAGUAGGCAGCCGGUGGGGAUUUAGAGUCUAAGUGACGGAACUGGGUUUGCUACUAAGCAAUCUGGAAAAUGCCAAUCAACUCCACCUGGAAACUGCAAGUCACACUUCAAGGUAAACCUGGACUGACAGAACGGUGAAAUCAGCAACGGUGAAAUCAGCAAGUGUUUCUUGCCAGAUCAGAUCUGGAUAGUACAGGCAGAACAGCAAAAAAGGAGAAUGUGUUUUAAGAACGACAACAACAAUUUUUCUGUCUUGGAAAACAUAAUCACCAUCAAAGAAGUAGACAUAAAAAAAUAAAUGUGUUCUGUUUAAAUUUAUAUGACAUUCAAAGUAGGCAAAACUCAACUUCAGUUUUUCGAGAUAUAUACAUAAGUGGUACAGCUAUAAAGGAAAAUGAAGAAAUAAACACAAAAGUCAGGGGGUGGUUCCUGGUAGGACUUGGGAUAGGGACAGGUUAUGACUAGGCAGAAGCCUCAGUCGGUUCCUUGAUUGCUGGUCGUGAUCUAGUUAUCAAUCUGGGUGGGAGCCAUAUGGGUGUUUGCUAUAUAAUUAUUAUUAAAUGCCAC
rnacentral:lncRNA from 1 species